rnacentral:misc_RNA from 1 species
GAAGUGAUUUAGCAUAGUAAGUGAUUGUUUAAUUAAUGGUUUGUGUCUUGUAAAUGAUAAAUGUAAUAUGUUCGUUUGCAGUAAAAUGUGUUCACCCUUGAUGCCGUUCACCUUAGUUUCCGUUUGCCCUUGGUCAGUUUGAAACAGUUCCCUCUACGUAUAUAUCUCAUUUAGAAAUUAAAUGAUUAAUUGUGUUGUGCUUGCAUGGGUAUAUAAAUUCUUCAAAGAUGUAAUAGGUGCUGAUCCGCUUCUCACCUUCAAAGUGGGCCAAUUAAUGUCUCAAUUUUUUUAAACUGUUUUAAAACAUCAAGCAAACCGU